AAGUCCAUGCAUCUCGGAAACUAUGGAGACGGGAACGUCUUGUGUGUAAAAAUGAAGAAAAAAUUAUAUCUCAUGUUGUGAAAGAGUCAGACUCUGAAAUCUGCUUAUACUUUGCUAUUUACAAAUCCUUCAUUUUUAGUAUACUUUUAAAAUUGAACACACACAACACUUUGGUUCCUAAAGUAAUGAUAACAAGAAAUUAAAAUCAAGGUACAUUAUCAUUUAUAUGUAGUAGUACAGAGUAACCAUGACUUACUAGGUGUUAUGAUGAAGGUGUAUGUGUGUGUAUAUGUGUGCAUGCAUGUAGAUAAGUGUGUGCAUUUGCGCACAUAAGAGUUUUAAACUGCUCCUGUCGUUUAUUGAUGGUCAAAGGUUUCUUUUGGCUAUUGCUGGACUCUUAAGAUUGUCUUGUAAUUGUCUUUUUGUUGUUGUUGAAAAUUAAGGGUGUAUAUUAAAGGUAGUUUUUACCCAGAUCUUAUAUGUGUGAUAGCUCACAUCUGUAAUCAGAAACUUACUGUUUAAUGGCCACCCAAUUGCCAUUAGCUUCCUAGAGGGUGAUUUAAUAAACUAUCUUCUUUAAAACUCAUUUAAAAUUAGAGACAUGUUUGCAUACAGUGGAUUAAUGACGUUUUCAUACUAACCCACAAAAGUCUGCUGCACUUUCUUUUGUAGGCCUAACAUUCAUUUCAUAUGCAUUGAUUAUUACUGUUGAACUUGCAUUAAUUACAUCGUGCAUAUAUGGACAUACAAUGUCAUCUGCAGAAUUUAGGAUUUUUUAUUGUUAAUUUUUAUAGUGACUGUGGAUUGAGGAAUUAAAAUUAGCAUGCUUCAUUUAUAAUAGUAUUUCUAGUGUUUCAUUAGCCCUAAAAAUGUGAUAAGAUCAGGAAUAAGAUUGGAAUGAAAAUUUCUCCUUAAAAUGGUACAUCUUUUGAAAACAUUUUGUUUAUAAUAUAUAGCUAAUCCUAAUUUAUUACAGUCUUUCAAUAUAUUCUUUAAUUUGAUUCUAUAAGGCUUAUAAAUUACUGUCUUUGAGAUAAGUUUCUUAAUUCACAGGUUUGUAUCAGUUGUACUAGGUUUGGUGAAGGAUGUCAUCCUAGAUAUACAGUGUAGACGUGCUUUAUGAAACAUACUUCUUCUUAGGGACAUUUUUAAAUACCAGAUGAGAAUAUGUUUGGUGGGCCAGGUGCAGGGGAUCACACCUGGAAUCCCAGCACUUUGGGUGGCCAAGGCAGGUGGAUUGCCUGAGGUCAGGAGUUUGAGACCAGCCUGGCCAACAUGGCAAAACCCAGUCUCUUCU